rnacentral:rRNA from 1 species
GACGAACGCUGGCGGCGUGCUUAACACAUGCAAGUCGAACGGAAAGGCCCUGCUUGCGGGGUACUCGAGUGUGGAACGGGUGAGUAACACGUGUGUGUACUGCGCUGCACUUUGGGGUAAGCCUGGGGAACUGGGUGUAUUACCCCGUAUGGGCGAUCUUGAUGGUGAGGGGGGGAUAGUUUUUUGGGUGUAGGGUGGGCGGGCGGGCUGUUUGGCUGCUGGUGGGGUAAGUGCCUACCAAGGCGGGCUAUGGUGGCCGGCCUGAGGGGGUGGACGGCCACAUUGGGACCGGGGUACGGCCCAGACUCCCACCGGAGGGCACAGUGGGGAAUAUUGCAACAUGGGCGGAAACCUGAUGCAGCGACGCCCCGUGGGGGAUGACGGCCUUCGGGUUGUAAAACCCUUUCGGUAGGGACGAAGCUUUUUGUGACGGUAACUAGAUAAGAAGCACCGGCUAACUACGUG